rnacentral:rRNA from 1 species
UACGGAGGGUGCAAGCGUUAUCCGGAUUCACUGGGCUUAAAGGGUGCGUAGGCGGGCAGGUAAGUCAGUGGUGAAAUCCUUGAGCUUAACUCGAGAACUGCCAUUGAUACUAUCUGUCUUGAAUGUUGUGGAGGUGAGCGGAAUAUGUCAUGUAGCGGUGAAAUGCUUAGAUAUGACAUAGAACAUCUAUUGCGAAGGCAGCUCACUACGCAAAUAUUGACACUGAGGCACGAAGGCGUGGGGAUCAAACAGG